CCGACGGUGAGGGGUGAAAGCUGGGGGAGCAAACCGGAUUAGAUACCCGGGUAGUCCCAGCUGUAAACUAUGCAAACUCAGUGAUGCAUUGGCUUGUGGCCAAUGCAGUGCUGCAGGGAAGCCGUUAAGUUUGCCGCCUGGGAAGUACGUACGCAAGUAUGAAACUUAAAGGAAUUGGCGGGGGAGCACCACAAGGGGUGAAGCCUGCGGUUCAAUUGGAGUCAACGCCAGAAAUCUUACCCGGAGAGACAGCAGAAUGGAGGUCAAGCUGAAGACUUUACCAGACAAGCUGAGAGGUGGUGCAUGGCCGUCGCCAGCUCGUGCCGUGAGAUGUCCUGUUAAGUCAGGUAACGAGCGAGAUCCCUGCCUCUAGUUGCCACCAUUACUCUCAGGAGUAGUGGGGCGAAUUAGCGGGACCGCCGCAGUUAAUGCGGAGGAAGGAAGGGGCCACGGCAGGUCAGUAUGCCCCGAAACUCUGGGGCCACACGCGGGCUGCAAUGGUAACGACAAUUGGUUUCGAAUCCGAAAGGAUGAGGUAAUCCUCAAACGUUACCACAGUUAUGACUGAGGGCUGCAACUCGCCCUCACGAAUAUGGAAUCCCUAGUAACUGCGUGUCAUUAUCGCGCGGUGAAUACGUCCCUGCUCCUUGCACACACCGCCCGU
rnacentral:rRNA from 1 species